rnacentral:rRNA from 1 species
AGCAGCCGCGGUAAUUCCAGCUCCAAUAGCGUAUAUUAACGUUGUUGCAGUUAAAAAGCUCGUAGUUGAAUUUCGGGAUCAGUGCGCUGGUCGUGCCACUGGUAUGUACUGGUCUUACUGGCUCCUCCUUCCUGAUGAACCGUAAUGCCAUUAAUUUGGUGUUGCGGGGAAACUGGACUGUUACUUUGAAAAAAUUAGAGGGUUUAAAGCAGGCUAACGCUUGAAUACAUUAGCAUGGAAUAAUGAAAUAGGACGUUCGAUCUUAUUUUGUUGGUUUCUAGGAUUGACGUAAUGAUUAAUAGGGAUAGUUGGGGGCAUUAGUAUUCAAUUGUCAGAGGUGAAAUUCUUGGAUUUAG